GUUAAUGUAGCUUAUCAUAAAGCAAGGCACUGAAAAUGCCUAGAUGAGUAGUAUUACUCCAUAAACA
rnacentral:tRNA from 1 species